UACAGAGGGUGCGAGCGUUGUCCGGAAUCACUGGGCGUAAAGGGCGCGUAGGUGGCGGGCCAAGUCAGUGGUGAAAGCUCGAUGCUCAACAUCGAGUCGGCCACUGAUACUGGUUUGCUUGAGCACUGUAGAGGCAGAUGGAAUUCCGGGUGUAGCGGUGGAAUGCGUAGAGAUCCGGAAGGAACACCAGAGGCGAAAGCGGCGACCUGGACAGGCACUGACACUCAACUACGAAAGCGUGGGGAGCAAACAGG
rnacentral:rRNA from 1 species